rnacentral:lncRNA from 1 species
AUGAAGCUAAGCAGCCUCUCUCAACUCACUGUGACCGUCCCCCUUUGCCUCCUCCACAUGGCCCAGCCUGGAGCCCUGAAAAGUGGCUGCCCAGAGUUUUCUGUUGCCUGCCCUUUCAUCCUGUUACCCAUGUGCUGGCAGGAUAAAAUUUGCAAAGGGGUUAAAUGGUGUUGCUACUACGAACGUCGGCAUUAGUGUAUGGAGUCCUGCUGGACUUUGGAU